rnacentral:lncRNA from 1 species
CAGGCAGAGAAACAUCAUUUCCUCCUCCUCUUGAGGGCAGGAGUCCAGGCGCAGCCCCAGCAGCAGGUAAUGCCCUAAAGCCAGGUUGGAAUAAAUGCAGAUGCUGCAAAUUGAUGGAGGCCUGGUGUCUUCCAGAGUGGAGGUAAAGGCUGGCUGAGGAAUCAGUGAGGCCAGGAAGAGGGCUCAGCUGAGCAACUGAUCAAAGCAUCCCUCUUCAGGAAGGAGCUUCCUGUGUUUUCUCUGGGAACUCACCUGUUUUCCACUCCAGACUCUCCAAGAUAUGCAGAGCUUUGGGCCAGGAUCCUACAGCCACGGGUCAUGCAGAGCCAGUUGGCCACAUCCUUUGGGCCAAAUUUGGUCCUAACCAGGUCUUACCACGGUAACUGCUAACCAGUCCAUCUUCAGUUAAUAUUUCAUGCGAAUUGUUGAACAUCUUACCAUUUAAUCCAGAAGUUAUGUCCUUUAAGGAAUCGACCCUGAGCCUGUGAGUUUUACUUUGGGUUGGGGGUGAAGGAGUGGACCUUGCAGCAUUCAAGGUCAUCCAAGAUCAUCCAGUUAAGGCCCCUAAGGUCACUACGGGGGGAAAAGCCUGGUGAGGGAAGAGAAAGCAUUAGGGGGAGCUGCACCGUGCUGAGAAAUAACACCACACAGAAGUCUGUGUUCUAAUCUCAGCUCUGCUUUGCAUUACUGUGUGACCUGGAGCUGAUCACAGCCCUCUGAGUCUUAAAGGGGUUGGACAAGGCCAACUAAACAUUAGAAACACCUGAAAGUGCUGGUUAAAAGGAAGAAUGCAUGAGCUUCACUCCAGAUUUACUAUAUCAGAAUUUCCAGGGUCAGGGUCCAAGAAUCUGCAUGUUUAAUACGCUUUCCACAUGAUUUUUCCCCCCUCUGGACUUAAGAAAACAAUGGGCAAGUCAGCUCAUGAAGAACUUUUCAGAUAUUCAGACUAUUAUUCUGAGAGAGAAAAUAUUGGCAGAGAACAGAUGGGAUUUUUCUCAAGGAAAAGAAAUGGAAAUCCUACAUCUUGCAAGAAAUAGAAAAAAAUAAAUAAACUGUUUGAAGAAGAAUCACAUCAGGCUGGCAGGAGAGAGCCUGCGGCUCGGUGUCUGACCCAGAAUGUUAAAGCCAGCCUGGCUUGGCUCCAGGAUAAAGGACACUCUGUCAGCCUCUCCACAUUGAUUCAUCUCCCCAGCCCCAAGAUCAGGAGAGCAUUCUGUUCCUUGAAGCAUUUUAUGACUGUAAGUCAGAAGUGCUGCAGUUUUAAUAAAAAGCUGUAUUGUCCUGAUCUUGUGCAAUAUACUGAACUAUCAUUUUCCAACUGUUGGCUUGCAUACUGGUUUGUGUGAGUAAGCCCGUCCAUCCACAUCACUAAAAGAUAGUAGUAGUAACAACAAUGAC